ACAUGCCUACAAGAUAGAGUUAAUGCAAUGGAUCCCAUUAGAAAUCUGCAGUUAAGCGCACUUGAGCUAGAGUAGUACUAGAAUGGGUGACCACCCGAGAAUUAUUAGUAUUUUACAUGCC
rnacentral:rRNA from 1 species